rnacentral:antisense_RNA from 1 species
UACCUGUCUCCUCCCAUAGUUAGUUGCCAAGCACUGUGGAUUCUACCCCUCAGGGUCCAGACACCCAUUUUCCUUCCCACUGUUCCCUCCCCAUGGAGAAGCCUGUGGCUGACUGACAGCUCAACUUGGAGAAGGUGUUACCUGGGCCAGGUGGGGAAGGUAGGGUUGUUUGCAGAGCAAAGAAGUGAAGAGUCUUUUUUAUUCACAGUAUGAAAAUCAAGUGUAAUUUUUUUCAAAGAAGAAAAAAAAGCCAGUAUGGAGAAAAUGGUACAGACAUAAUUUAAUGAAUCCACAGCAGCUACAAAAGUCAGCUAAUAUAAUGUGCCACAAGCACUAACAUAAAAUCUAUGACAUACGCCACAGAUCUGGUUUCUCGCAAGAUCUAAACUCAGCAUCUGUCAGGAAAUAAACAGGAUAUGCUGACAACAG